rnacentral:rRNA from 1 species
ACGUUAGCGGCGGACGGGUGAGUAACACGUGGGUAACCUACCUAUAAGACUGGGAUAACUUCGGGAAACCGGAGCUAAUACCGGAUAAUAUUUCGAACCGCAUGGUUCGAUAGUGAAAGAUGGUUUUGCUAUCACUUAUAGAUGGACCUGCGCCGUAUUAGCUAGUUGGUAAGGUAACGGCUUACCAAGGCGACGAUACGUAGCCGACCUGAGAGGGUGAUCGGCCACACUGGAACUGAGACACGGUCCAGACUCCUACGGGAGGCAGCACU